rnacentral:rRNA from 1 species
AACGGCGGCCGUAACUAUAACGGUCCUAAGGUAGCGAAAUUCCUUGUCGGGUAAGUUCCGACCCGCACGAAAGGCGUAACGAUUUGGGCACUGUCUCAACGAGAGACUCGGUGAAAUCAUAGUACCUGUGAAGAUGCAGGUUACCCGCGACAGGACGGAAAGACCCCGUGGAGCUUUACUGUAGCCUGAUAUUGAAAUUCGGCACAGCUUGUACAGGAUAGGUAGGAGCCUUUGAAACGUGAGCGCUAGCUUACGUGGAGGCGCUGGUGGGAUACUACCCUAGCUGUGUUGGCUUUCUAACCCGCACCACUUAUCGUGGUGGGAGACAGUGUCAGGCGGGCAGUUUGACUGGGGCGGUCGCCUCCUAAAAGGUAACGGAGGCGCUCAAAGGUUCCCUCAGAAUGGUUGGAAAUCAUUCAUAGAGUGUAAAGGCAUAAGGGAGCUUGACUGCGAGACCUACAAGUCGAGCAGGGUCGAAAGACGGACUUAGUGAUCC